UACGUAGGGGGCAAGCGUUGUCCGGAUUUAUUGGGCGUAAAGAGCGUGUAGGCGGCCUGAAAGGUCAGCUGUGAAAACUCGAGGCUCAACCUCGAGACGUCGGUUGAAACCAUCUGGCUAGAGUCCGGAAGAGGAGUGUGGAAUUCCCGGUGUAGCGGUGAAAUGCGCAGAUAUCGGGAAGAACACCCGUGGCGAAGGCGGCUCUCUGGACCGUAACUGACGCUGAGGCGCGAAAGCGUGGGGAGCAAACAGG
rnacentral:rRNA from 1 species